rnacentral:rRNA from 1 species
AAGACCAAAGAGGGGGACCUUCGGGCCUCUUGCCAUCAGAUGUGCCCAGAUGGGAUUAGCUUGUUGGUGAGGUAACGGCUCACCAAGGCGACGAUCCCUAGCUGGUCUGAGAGGAUGACCAGCCACACUGGAACUGAGACACGGUCCAGACUCCUACGGGAGGCAGCAGUGGGGAAUAUUGCACAAUGGGCGCAAGCCUGAUGCAGCCAUGCCGCGUGUAUGAAGAAGGCCUUCGGGUUGUAAAGUACUUUCAGCGGGGAGGAAGGUGUUGUGGUUAAUAACCGCAGCAAUUGACGUUACCCGCAGAAGAAGCACCGGCUAACUCCGUGCCAGCAGCCGCGGUAAUACGGAGGGUGCAAGCGUUAAUCGGAAUUACUGGGCGUAAAGCGCACGCAGGCGGUCUGUCAAGUCGGAUGUGAAAUCCCCGGGCUCAACCUGGGAACUGCAUUCGAAACUGGCAGGCUUGAGUCUUGUAGAGGGGGGUAGAAUUCCAGGUGUAGCGGUGAAA